AUAUGUGUGACGUCAGCUCCACAUGUCCCUGCGGUUGCUAGGCAACCCCCAUACACAUCCUAUGGUUGCUAGGCGCCGCUCUGAUGCGAGUCCCUGUGAUCGGCGUGUUCUGCCGUUGGGGGCUACCGUGUUGAGACGGAAAAUCCACGAGGCUUCGGCGUGCAUCUGGAAAUGAGGAGGAGGGGGAGAUAUGGACGAUUCAGGGAUAUAAGCUGAAAACUUCCACCCGAAACCACUUACAAAGUGAUUGCUCUUAACCCAGCUGAUUAAUGUGCGUUACCUCGGAUAUAAUUGAAUUACCUCAAGUCCUUAAUGAUAUGGGGAGAUGUUAUCAAGCAAGACACCAGCAACACCAUGUGCAUCAGCAAACUUCCUACUACCUAGUGAAUCCCAACAGAUAUAACAUCUGUACACAAAAGAUACGUCCUCAUGCAUGUGGCCUUAAUACAGGAAAGAGACGAGCAGUGCAACUGAGCUGCUGUGAGAGGUAUUGCAACAACUUUAUUUGCAUCACAGAUGCAGCGAACCACCAAACAGUGUGCCACAUGGGCUGCAACUUUAACCGCAGAGCAGUUGCAGAUGAAGCACAGAGGAAUUCGGCAUGAGGAAAAGCCACAGCUGCUGCAUCGUACAACUUAGUAUAUAGAUUCAAACUUAGUCACAUGUAAACUGAUCCAUGCGAUCUAGCAGGUAGCUUUGUC